GAAGCAGCAAGGGUGCAGGUCCCUCCUCUAGCUUUAGCAAGAAAGAUUGCUGGUGAGACACAAUAUUCAAAGCGGUACAGGUCCCCACCUGAAAGGAAACAAUCUAUACAGGAUUGAAUGACACCAUCAAGCCUCGACUGAUCCCCACACUUAGGGCAUGGAUUGUCCGAAGGAUGGGAAGAGCUGAAAAUUUUUCGGUCUAAAACAGUUCCUGUCCCUAUC
rnacentral:misc_RNA from 1 species